rnacentral:rRNA from 1 species
AAUGGCGGCUGCUAUAAUGCAAGUCGAACGAGGGCACUCAAGUAGCAAUACGAGGGUGUUCCUAGUGGCGAACGGGUGAGUAACACGUUGGUGACCUGCCCCGAAGUGAGGGAUAACAGUCCGAAAGGGCUGCUAAUACCUCAUGUGAUCCGGAGGGUUAGAGGCCUCUGGAGGAAAGGCGUAAGCCGCUUCGGGAGGGGCCUGCGGCCCAUCAGCUAGUUGGUAGGGUAAUGGCCUACCAAGGCGACGACGGGUAGGGGUCCUGAGAGGGUGGCCCCCCACACUGGCACUGAAAUACGGGCCAGACACCUACGGGUGGCAGCAGUAGGGAAUAUUGGACAAUGGGCGAAAGCCUGAUCCAGCAACGCCGCGUGCGCGAUGAAGGCCUUCGGGUUGUAAAGCGCUUUUCGGGGGGAUGAGGAAGGACAGUACCCCCGGAAUAAGUCUCGGCUAACUACGUGCCAGCAGCCGCGGUAAAACGUAGGAGGCAAGCGUUAUCCGGAUUUACUGGGCGUAAAGCGCGUGCAGGCGGUCUGGUAAGUCGGACGUGAAAGCUCCCGGCUCAACUGGGAGAGGCCGUUCGAAACUACCAGACUUGAGGGCAGUAGAGGAAGGUGGAAUUCCGGGUGUAGCGGUGAAAUGCGUAGAUAUCCGGAGGAACACCAGUGGCGAAGGCGGCCUUCUGGACUGCUUCUGACGCUCAGACGCGAAAGCUAGGGGAGCGAACGGGAUUAGAAACCCCGGUAGUCCUAGCUGUAAACGAUGCGGACUUGGUGUUGGUGGCUUAAUCACCAUCAGUGCCGUAGCUAACGCGUUAGUC